AUAUUGGCUCUCUCUGUUAUCAUGCUGCUCUUUGAGGCAGGAAUGUCCUCAUCCUCCUCAGGCUUGGAGAAUCAGAUCUUCCAAUACAUUGAUCUUCAUCAAAAUGAAUUUAUUCAGACCCUUAAGGAAUGGAUAGCAGUGGAGAGUGAUUCUAUUCAACCGGGGCUAAGACAAGAAGUAAUACGAAUGGUGGAAUUAACAGCAGACAGGCUUCGAGCUUUGGGAGCCACUGUUGAGUUAGUGAAGUUGGGCUCCCACAAGCUGUCUGAUGGCCAGAGCCUUCUGUUGCCUCCUCUAAUUCUAGCAGAACUUGGUAAAGAUCCACAAAAACCCACUGUAUGUUUCUAUGGACAUGUGGAUGUACAACCUGCCAAAAAAGAAGAUGGAUGGAAAACUGACCCCUACACACUGACUGAAAUUGAUGGAAAUCUUUAUGGGCGUGGAGCAACAGAUAACAAAGGACCUGUCUUGGCCUGGAUAAAUGCAGUGGAAUCAUUCAGAGCACUAAAAUUAGACAUACCAGUAAACCUCAAGUUCAUUAUUGAAGGUAUGGAAGAAGCAGGAUCUCUUGGACUAGAGGAAAUAAUUAAGAAAGAAAAUCAGCGUUUUUUCUCUGAUGUUGACUUUAUUGUGAUUUCGGAUAACCUUUGGCUUAACAACAGGAAACCAGCCCUCACGUAUGGGACUCGGGGAAACAUUUGCUUCUCUGUGGAGGUACGGUGUGGGGAGAGAGAUCUUCAUUCAGGAAGUUUUGGAGGCAUCAUUCAUGAACCAAUGACUGACCUAAUAGCUCUGCUUGAUAGCCUUGUGGAUACAUCAGGUCGUAUUUUGAUCCCUGGAGUCUAUGAUGAUGUUGCUUCCCUAUUGGAAGAGGAGAAGAAGUUGUAUGAAGCAAUUGAAUUUGAUAUAGAGGAACAUAAAAAUAAUAGUGGUGUGAAAAAAUUCCUAUAUGACACUAAGGAGGAAAUACUUAUGCACCUGUGGCGUUACCCCUCUCUCUCUAUUCAUGGGAUUGAAGGAGCUUUUCACGAACCAGGAAUAAAAACAGUUAUACCCGCAAGAGUAAUAGGAAAAUUUUCAAUCCGGCAAGUCCCUCACAUGGACAUUUCAAUCGGAGAACAUCAGGUGAUAAAAUAUUUAGAGGAUGUAUUCUCUAAGAGAAACAGCCCAAACAAACUGAAGGUGUCUGUGCCAAUACGUGCAAUGCCAUGGGUUGCUAACAUAAAUGAUCCUCUUUAUACAGCAGCAAGAAAGGCAAUCAAAACAGAAUUUCGUUCUUUCCAUGUGUUUCAGUUUUUGGACAAGAUCCAGAAAUGAUCCGGGAUGGCUCAACAAUUCCUAUUGCCCAAACGUUCCAGAAUAUAACAAGGAAGAGUGUGAUGAUGCUUCCAGUUGGAGCAGCUGAUGAUGCGGAGCAUUCCCAAAAAGAGAAAAUAAGCAGGCACAAUUACAUUCAAGGAACAAAACUGUUUGCAACCCUUUUCUUGGAGAUUGCAAAACUGCCUGGAAAGUUAAAGGAAACGUCCAACACGACGACUACAAACUGAUGGAUCCUGGCAAGACAAUAAGCUAGACUCCUGCCUAUUGUCUUAAAUAUUCUAACUUCCUUCUUUAUUACUCUGGAGAAACAUGUACAAACAAUAAAAUAGUUAGACGUACA